AACGAACGCUGGCGGCAGGCUUAACACAUGCAAGUCGAACGCUCCGCAAGGGGAGUGGCAGACGGGUGAGUAACGCGUGGGAAUCUACCCAGUUCUACGGAACAACCCAGGGAAACUUGGACUAAUACCGUAUACGCCCUACGGGGGAAAGAUUUAUCGGAAUUGGAUGAGCCCGCGUUGGAUUAGCUAGUUGGUGGGGUAAUGGCCUACCAAGGCGACGAUCCAUAGCUGGUCUGAGAGGAUGAUCAGCCACACUGGGACUGAGACACGGCCCAGACUCCUACGGGAGGCAGCAGUGGGGAAUAUUGGACAAUGGGCGCAAGCCUGAUCCAGCCAUGCCGCGUGAGUGAUGAAGGCCUUAGGGUUGUAAAGCUCUUUCAGUGGGGACGAUAAUGACGGUACCCACAGAAGAAGCCCCGGCUAACUUCGUGCCAGCCGCCGCGGUAAUAC
rnacentral:rRNA from 1 species